UACGUAGGGUGCAAGCGUUGUCCGGAAUCAUUGGGCGUAAAGCGCGCGUAGGCGGCAAAUUAAGUCAGCUGUGAAAUCUCCGAGCUUAACUCGGAACGGUCAGCUGAUACUGAUCUGCUAGAGUGCGGAAGGGGCAAUCGGAAUUCUUGGUGUAGCGGUGAAAUGCGUAGAUAUCGGGAGGAACACCAGUGGCGAAGGCGGCUUCCUGGCCCGUUCUUGACGCUGAGGCGCGAAAGCUAGGGUAGCAAACGGG
rnacentral:rRNA from 1 species